UCUGUUUCCUGGAAGGUUGUAAUUUUUUUUGCUGCCUGGGUGCUUUACUUGUGAUGGGGAAGAUUUUGGUGUUCAUACAGCACUUUUACUGCUGGUGCUAAAAGAAUUUCAGGUGUUUUCCAAAAGUGAGUAUGUAUUAUUUUCCAUCCACAGUUGCUACCAAAUGGUUGGUUGAUGUAUUUUUGAUCAUUGUUUUUUACUUCUGCAGUUGCUUUUCGCAUUUAUGAUAUGGACAAAGAUGGCUAUAUCUCAAAUGGAGAGCUCUUCCAGGUGCUGAAGAUGAUGGUUGGGAACAAUCUCAAAGACACUCAGUUACAGCAAAUUGUAGAUAAAACCAUAAUUAAUGCAGAUAAGGAUGGUGAUGGAAGAAUAUCCUUUGAAGAAUUCUGUGCUGUUGUAGGAGGCCUAGAUAUCCACAAAAAGAUGGUCGUAGAUGUGUGACUCUGUAGGGCACCACCCAACACUUUUGCUUUCUUCUCCAUCUCUGAAGAUCUGCUCCAGACGUCCAGCAAUGCUCUCUGUGUAUUUAAAUGGAAGUAUUUUUCUCUGUGAAGCCACAUUUUCCAACAUGAGCCUCAUGAAGCCAA